GCAGUAGCCACGGUAAUACGUAGGUCCCGAGCGUUGUCCGGAUUUAUUGGGCGUAAAGCGAGCGCAGGCGGUUAGAUAAGUCUGAAGUUAAAGGCUGUGGCUUAACCAUAGUACGCUUUGGAAACUGUUUAACUUGAGUGCAAGAGGGGAGAGUGGAAUUCCAUGUGUAGCGGUGAAAUGCGUAGAUAUAUGGAGGAACACCGGUGGCGAAAGCGGCUCUCCGGUCUGUAACUGACGCUGAGGCUCGAAAGCGUGGGGAGCAAACAGGAUUAGAUACCCCUGUAGUCCCUGUCUCUUAUACA
rnacentral:rRNA from 1 species